GGGGGCUCGGUCUUUCUAACCCUAAGCGGAACGUGGCCCCUCCCCGCCGCAGCCGUCCGCUGUUUUACUCGCUGACUUUCAGCGGGCGGGGGGAGCGGGCGGAGACACCAACCAAAAAACGUCAGCGAGGGGCCCUCCCCUCCCACGCCGACCUGGGCCGGUGUGGGGCCCGCCAGGGAAGUCCCCGCCGCCCCGCCCUGGUGAGGCCGCGGUCAGCCGGUUCGCGCCACUGCUGCCGCGAAGAGUUCGUCUCUGUCAGCCUCGGGGGCGGCCGGGGUGGAAGGGCGGGUCCCGUGCGGGUCGGCCGGGAGAGCAAACAUUUCCUGCCAGUUAAAAGUAAGCAGGGAACAGCUCAAGAUUUCUACCUUUGAUCCCAGCUGCAGCAUGGUCAGCUCUUCUGGUGCUUCACUCCAGCUGGGACCCAGAAGGGCAAGAGAGAAGGACUGCAAAAAUUACGAACCUGAAGAUCUUUCCGAAUCUUAACAGAAAGGUGAAGUUUGAGGUAGGUUAUAGAAAUGGAUUAGUAUUUGGGGCAGCAGUUUGGGUGGAGGUGUAUUGGAAGUACUUAUUUUACUCUGGGGGCUAAUCUAUUCUUAAUAGAGAGACACGCAUUCCCGGGGAGAGCAGGAACAGAUCUAGAGGGAUACAAUGGAGGUGAGUGAGAUCUGAAAAUGGGAAAGUGCGUUCAAAGACUAUUUACAGAAGCCGUUAGGAAUCAUGCUGCGUCUAGCCGUGUAAAGAGCAGGCGGUGCCUGGAACCUCCACUGGGUAUAUAGUCGCAUAUACUUUACCUUCACGCAUGUAGAUCUACGCACGAGGUUUAAGCUACACCAUCAGCCCUGCUCCUGCUGCUUUCCUCCAACUCCAGCUUUCCGCGGGGACCCCAGAAGGAGAGAAAGGGGGCUCCUCCGGAAAGGUAGCAGCAGGAGCGGAGAGGAAAUGAACAGGAGCGUGCUGCUGAGCCGCAGGUUGGGUUGUUUGCAUUGCACUGCAGGCGCAGCUGAAGGUGCCUGUGCUAAUGUUUGAGCUGCCAGCGUGGCUCGCUCCCUUCUUGCAUAGUACAGGCGUGGGGCACAUUCCACCGCUUCCAUUCCUCUCUCUCGCUAUGCGUUAAAUGACCUUAGCUAGGAGUCUGCUAGUAGGGGGCACGAGGGCUGAGAAGGUAAUCACUCUCCAGUGCCUGUGCUUCUAAUAGUGCUAGCUCUCUGCAGUUCCUCCUUGCAACCGGACGGGGGCAGCGCAGACCGAUCUGUCUUUGCCCUCCUGCCGCCUGUGAAGCUGAAAUUCGCC
rnacentral:lncRNA from 1 species